rnacentral:rRNA from 1 species
UACAGAGGGUGCGAGCGUUAAUCGGAAUUACUGGGCGUAAAGCGUGCGUAGACGGUUUCGUAAGUCGGGUGUGAAAGCCCCGGGCUCAACCUGGGAAUUGCGAUGAAGACUGCAAGGCUUGAAUCUGGCAGAGGGGGGUAGAAUUCCACGUGUAGCAGUGAAAUGCGUAGAGAUGUGGAGGAACACCGAUGGCGAAGGCAGCCCCCUGGGUCAAGAUUGACGCUCAUGCACGAAAGCGUGGGGAGCAAACAGG